CCUACGGGAGGCUGCAGUGAGGAAUAUUGGUCAAUGGACGCAAGUCUGAACCAGCCAUGCCGCGUGCAGGAAGACGGCUCUAUGAGUUGUAAACUGCUUUUGUACGAGGGUAAACGCAGAUACGCGUAUCUGUCUGAAAGUAUCGUACGAAUAAGGAUCGGCUAACUCCGUGCCAGCAGCCGCGGUAAUACGGAGGAUUCAAGCGUUAUCCGGAUUUAUUGGGUUUAAAGGGUGCGUAGGCGGUCGGAUAAGUUAGAGGUGAAAGCCCGGGGCUCAACUUCGGAAUUGCCUCUGAUACUGUUGGUCUAGAGGGUAGUAGAGGUAGGCGGAAUGUGUGGUGUAGCGGUGAAAUGCGUAGAGAUCAUGAAGAACACCGAUUGCGAAGGCAGCUUACCGAGCUACUUCUGACGUUGAGGCACGAAAGCGUGGGGAGCAAACAGGAUUAGAUACCCGUGUAGUC
rnacentral:rRNA from 1 species